UGGCUCUCGCAUCGAUGAAGAACGCGGCGAAAUGCGAUAAGUAAUGUGAAUUGCAGAUUUCAGUGAAUCAUCGAAUCUUUGAACGCACCUUGCGCUCCUAGGUCUUCCGAGGAGCAUGCCUGUUUGAGUGCCCAGAAAUUAUCUCGAUCAACUCCUCGUGUGAUGAUCGGACCUGGAGGUUAUGCUGUUACUAGUUGGCGGCUCCUCCCAAAUGCUUUAGCUCGUUGGUGAUGAACCACUGUUGGCUUGAUAUAAUGUCUAUGCUGCGGUCGUACAUGUCCCAAAGCUUACAGCUGUCUGAUGACAACUUUAUUUAACCUCGGGCCUCAAAUCAGGUAGGAUUACCCGCUGA
rnacentral:misc_RNA from 1 species